AUUGGUCGUCAUGAAAAAAACAUAAGGGGUAACACUGUUGUUUUUUAUUGGUCGUCAUGAAAAAAAACACAAGCGGGGUAACAAUGUUGUUUUUUAUUGGUCGUCAUGAAAAAAAACAAGGGGUAACACUGUUGUUUUUUAUUGGUCGUCAUGAAAAAAAACACAAGGGGUAACACUGUUGUUUUUUAUUGGUCGGCAUGAAAAAAAACAUAAGGGGUAAUACUGUUGUUUUUUAUUGGUCGUCAUGAAAAAAACCACAAGGGGUAACACUGUUGUUUUUUAUUGGUCGUCAUGAAAAAAAACAUAAGGGGUAACACUGUUGUUUUUUAAAAAAAAA
ensembl:lncRNA